rnacentral:rRNA from 1 species
GGUGAACGCUGGCGGCGUGCCUAAGACAUGCAAGUCGAGCGGGCCGCGGGGUUUUACUCCGUGGUCAGCGGCGGACGGGUGAGUAACGCGUGGGUGACCUACCCGGAAGAGGGGGACAACCCGGGGAAACUCGGGCUAAUCCCCCAUGUGGACCCGCCCCUUGGGGUGUGUCCAAAGGGCUUUGCCCGCUUCCGGAUGGGCCCGCGUCCCAUCAGCUAGUUGGUGGGGUAAUGGCCCACCAAGGCGACGACGGGUAGCCGGCCUGAGAGGGUGGCCGGCCACAGGGGCACUGACACGGGCCCCACUCCUACGGGAGGCAGCAGUUAGGAAUCUUCCGCAAUGGGCGCAAGCCUGACGGAGCGACGCCGCUUGGAGGAAGAAGCCCUUCGGGGUGUAAACUCCUGAACCCGGGACGAAACCCCCGACGAGGGGACUGACGGUACCGGGGUAAUAGCGCCGGCCAACUCCGUG